AACGCACCUUGCGCUCCUUGGUAUUCCUUGGAGCAUGCCUGUUUGAGUAUCAUGAAAUUCUCAAAGCAAGCCUUUUGUUAAUUCAAUUGGUCUUCUUGCUUUGGACUUGGAGGCUUGCAGAUUUCACAGUCUGCUCCUCUUAAAUUCAUUAGCUGGAUCUCAGUAUAUGCUCGGUUCCACUCGGCGUGAUAAGUAUCACUCGCUGAGGACACUGUAAAAGGUGGCCGGGAAAUGCAGACGAACCGCUUCUAAUAGUCUAUUAAAUUAGACAAUACUCUAAGAUCUGAUCUCAAAUCAGGUAGGACUACCCGCUGAACUUAA
rnacentral:misc_RNA from 1 species